GAUGAACGCUAGCGGCAGGCCUAAUACAUGCAAGUCGAACGAGAUUAAGAGGCUUGCUUCUUAUGAAAGUGGCGCACGGGUGCGUAACGCGUAUGCAACCUACCUUAAUCAGGGGGAUAGCCCGAAGAAAUUCGGAUUAAGACCGCAUAAAAACACAGGAUAGCAUUAUCCAAUGUUCAAAUAUUUAUAGGAUUAAGAUGGGCAUGCGUGUCAUUAGCUAGUUGGCGGGGUAACGGCCCACCAAGGCGACGAUGACUAGGGGAUCUGAGGGGAUGACCCCCCACACUGGUACUGAGACACGGACCAGACUCCUACGGGAGGCAGCAGUAAGGAAUAUUGGUCAAUGGAGGGAACUCUGAACCAGCCAUGCCGCGUGCAGGAAGACAGCCCUCUGGGUCGUAAACUGCUUUUAUUCGGGAAUAAACCUUUCUACGUGUAGGAAGCUGAAUGUACCGAAGGAAUAAGGAUCGGCUAACUCCGUG
rnacentral:rRNA from 1 species